rnacentral:lncRNA from 1 species
CGUAACAGGAAAAGCAAGAACAAAACCAUUUAUAGAAUCUCAGAGCUGAAAGAGGACUCGGGGAUAUUUAUAUCAGGCCCUUGAUUUGACAGAUGUGGAAAGCAAAGCCUGGAGAGUGUUUGUAACUCACCCAUGCUCACACAGUGAGUUGGUGGUGAACUGGGACUAGCAUUCAUCUCUUCUUGAUUUUCAGGAAAAGAAAACCAAGAUCCAAAUAUGUAUAUAACAGAGGGAAGGCCACGUGGAGACACAGGGAGAAGACAGCCAUCCAUGAGCCGAGAAGAGACCUGAGAAGAAACCACCCAGCUGACACCUUGAUCUUGGACUUCCAGCCUCCAGAGUUGUAAGGCCAUGGAGAUACAUCUAUGAACAAAGAAGACAGAAAAUCCUACCAGAAUUGACUGAAAAGUUGAGUGAGGGGCAGGAAAGAAAAAGAGGUGGCAAAGGUGAGUCAAAGUUUUCGGCCUGAGCAACUUAAAGGAUGGAGAAGACAAACAGGAUGAGCAGGUUUUGGAGGUAAGAUUAGAUCAUUUGUGGAGUGUGAAGGUUUACAUGCCCAACAGACAUCCUCAUGGAGCUGUCAAGUGAGAGGUUAGAUAUGUGAGUCUGGAGUAAAGGUCACAGGUCUUGGCUAGAGAUACACACUUGGUGAUCGGUGUAUAAGUGGUAUUUAAAGCUAUGAGAGUGGAUGAGGUCAGCUCAAAAGGACGGCUGACAGAAAAGAGAAGAGAUCCAAGCACUGAAUCCUAGGCUACUCCAUGUGAUUAGCGAAAUUAGGAGGAAUUGGCAAAGGAGACUGAAGAGUAACCACAAAUGAAGGCAGAAACCAGGACAGUGUGGCAUCCUGGAAGCCAGAGAAGAAGGUAUUUCAAAGGUGAGGGAGUGAGCACCUUUUCUAAUACUAUUUGAGAACUGUGAAUUGGCUAUGAGGAUGUAGAGGUCACUGGUGACCUUGACGAGCACACAUUUGAUGGAGUGGUCAGAAAAAAAAGAUUUAUUAUAGCAGAUUCAAGAGAUAAUUGGUCAGAAAAGGAUCACUGAGAAAGAAAAAAGUAAAAACUAAAAUAAAGAGAGAAUUGGGUUUGUAUACCCA